GAUGAACGCUGGCGGCGUGCCUAAUACAUGCAAGUAGAACGCUUAAGCUUGGUGCUUGCACCGAGCGGAUGAGUUGCGAACGGGUGAGUAACGCGUAGGUAACCUGCCUCUUAGCGGGGGAUAACUAUUGGAAACGAUAGCUAAUACCGCAUAAAAGUCGAUAUCGCAUGAUAUUGAUUUGAAAGGUGCAAAUGCACCUCUAAGUAACGAGCUUGCGUUGUAUUAGCUAGUUGGGGAGGUAACGGCUAACCAAGCCGACGAUACAUAGCCGACCUGAGAGGGGGAUCGGACACACUGGGACGGAGACACGGCCCAGACUCCUACGGGAGGCAGCAGGAGGGAAUCUUCGGCAAUGGGGGCAACCCUGACCGAGCAACGCCGCGUGAGUGAAGAAGGUUGUCGGAUCGUAAAGCUCUGUUGUAAGAGAAGAACGAGUGUGAGAGUGGAAAGUUCACACUGUGACGGUAACUGACCAGAAAGGGACGGCUAACUACGUG
rnacentral:rRNA from 1 species